rnacentral:rRNA from 1 species
GACGAACGCUGGCGGCGUGCUUAACACAUGCAAGUCGAACGAAGAGCGAUGGACGCUUGCUUCUAUCAAUCUUAGUGGCGAACGGGUGAGUAACGCGUAAUCAACCUGCCCUUCAGAGGGGGACAACAGUUGGAAACGACUGCUAAUACCGCAUACGAUCUGACCUCGGCAUCGAGGAUAGAUGAAAGGUGGCCUCUAUUUAUAAGCUAUCACUGAAGGAGGGGAUUGCGUCUGAUUAGCUAGUUGGAGGGGUAACGGCCCACCAAGGCGAUGAUCAGUAGCCGGUCUGAGAGGAUGAACGGCCACAUUGGGACUGAGACACGGCCCAGACUCCUACGGGAGGCAGCAGUGGGGAAUCUUCCGCAAUGGACGAAAGUCUGACGGAGCAACGCCGCGUGAGUGAUGACGGCCUUCGGGUUGUAAAGCUCUGUUAAUCGGGACGAAAGGCCUUCUUGCGAAUAGUUAGAAGGAUUGACGGUACCGGAAUAGAAAGCCACGGCUAACUACGUG